rnacentral:rRNA from 1 species
UACGUAGGGGGCGAGCGUUGUCCGGAUUUAUUGGGCGUAAAGAGCGUGUAGGCGGCCCGGUAAGUCCGCUGUGAAAGUCCAGGGCUCAACCCUGGGAUGCCGGUGGAUACUGUCGGGCUCGAGUCCGGAAGAGGAGUGUGGAAUUCCUGGUGUAGCGGUGAAAUGCGCAGAUAUCAGGAGGAACACCAAUGGCGAAGGCAGCACUCUGGGACGUGACUGACGCUGAGACGCGAAAGCGUGGGGAGCAAACAGG